rnacentral:rRNA from 1 species
CCAACCGGGAUUCCCUGAGUAAGGGCGACUGAAAGGGGAUGAGCCCAGCGCAUAACCUUGCGGUCUUGUUGUGGCCGUCGAGGGGUGUUGCGUUUUGGUGGAUCCGUACCGCUCGAGUUGCUGACCGCCUAAGUCAUUGCUUGAAUGCAGCCCCGAGGAGGGUGGUAGGCCCGUGUGGCGGCGCCUGUAAAAAGGUUGGAGGCAAUUCGGGCGGAGGGGUCUUUACCGUAGAGUCGGGUUGCUUAGUACUGCAGCCCUAAGUAGGUGGUAAACUCCAUCUAAGGCUAAAUACUACCACGAGUCCGAUAUUUGACAAGUACCGUGAGGGAAAGCUGAAAAGGACUCUGAAGAGAGAGUUCAAGAGGACGUGAAACCAUUAGAAGCUGAAACGGGUGGAACCGUGAAGGUGGAAAGAGGGGAUUCAGGUCGUGGGCGCGCGCCUCUGCGGCCAGGCGCAGUCUGUGAGAGGACCCGGCGUUAGAGUUUGUUGCCGUGGCCCCUGGCUGUGAGCGCGCGCGCCGGCGGUCUUAGUUCUCCCUCGAGUACGGGUCGUGGCGAGCCGCUGGACGGAGCCCGAGAGCCCCUUGGGACUGGUAGCCUGCACCUUUGGUGUGGGUGAUGACCCUGGGGGUAAUUUGUGGCUGCGGCCGGCGGUGACUGCAAGGAGGCAGCCGGCCUCGGCCGGUUGCCUCUCGCCAUGUGAGAGUGAUCGG